rnacentral:rRNA from 1 species
CCUACGGGAGGCAGCAGUCGGGAAUAUUGCGCAAUGGAGGAAACUCUGACGCAGUGACGCAGCGUGCAGGAAGAAGGUCUUCGGAUUGUAAACUGCUUUAGACAGGGAAGAAAAAAGACAGUACUGGUAGAAUAAGCUUCUGCUAACUACGUGCCAGCAGCCGCGGUAAGACGUAGGGAGCAAGCGUUAUCCGGAUUUAUUGGGUGUAAAGGGUGCGUAGACGGAGAAGCAAGUUAGUUGUGAAAUCCUUCGGCUUAACUGAGGAACUGCAACUAAAACUACUUCCCUUGAGUACUGUAGAGGAAAGUGGAAUUCGUAGUGUAGCGGUGAAAUGCGUAGAUAUUAGGAGGAACACCAGUGGCGAAGGCGACUUGCUGGACAGUAACUGACGUUGAUGCACGAAAGUGUGGGGAGCAAACAGGAUUAGAUACCCGAGUAGUC